rnacentral:tRNA from 1 species
GGCGGAAUAGCUCAGUUGGCUAGAGCACACGGUUCAUACCCGUGGUGUCAUGGGUUCAAAUCCCUUUUCCGCUACCA